UGCCCAGCAAGUCUUAUCCCGACCUCCGCGUGGCAUCGCUCGGGCUGCGAGCAACCUUAGGAUAGAUCGGGUAAUCAACCCUGGUAGGAAUUUUGGCCUCAGGCUGACGGGGAAGG
rnacentral:ribozyme from 1 species